UCGCCUGUUUAUCAAAAACAUUGUCACUUGACUAAUUUAUAGGUGAUCCAUCCUGCCCCAUGAAAAAUUUAAAUGGCCGCGGUACCCUGACCGUGCAAAGGUAGCAUAAUCAUUUGCCUAUUAAUUGUAGUGCUAGAAUGAAAGGACAAACGAGGACAGAGCUAUCCCAUCUAAAUUUAUAUAAUCUAAUCUCCAAGUGAAGAAGCUUGGAUUAAACCGUAGGACAAGAAGACCCUAUAGAGCUUAACCUUAUAUCUAUGCCUAAAAUAAUACCUACGGUUCGAUUGGGGCGAUCAAGGCUAAUCUAAAACACCCUAAACUAACCUGACCUACCAGUCCUUCACCCAGAUCCURCAUUCCAGAUCAUAGAAAUAAGCUACCCUAGGGAUAACAGGCUAAUUUUUCUUAAGAGCCCUUAUUAACAGAAAAGUUUGGCACCUCGAUGUUGGCUUAGGACCUCUUUAUGAUGCAGCAGUCAUAAACAGAUGGUUUGUUCAACCAUUAAUAUCCUACGUGAUCUGAGUUCAGACCGGA
rnacentral:rRNA from 1 species